rnacentral:lncRNA from 1 species
UUUUUUUUUUUUUUGCUUAAGAAUGAUGUUUUCAUUAUUUCACCAUUUAAUGCAUAGUUUUUUUAAAAAAUCCAAAUGCAAGUCUUUGCAUUUAUUUCUGUUACAACUCAGCCCUUAUCAUUCCAGCCCAUACAGUUCUGUGGAAUGUGAUAAAUUGUGACAAAUGCUUCAGGAUUACUAAUAAAAUCCAACAUAUUUAUUAUACCUCCCAGCUUGGUGGUAUCUGUAAAUUGACCUUAUCACAAUGGUAAUAUGCAUUUAAUAGCUGUACUAAGGGUUUAAAAAUACCUUUUCAUCUAAUCUUCAAAAUGACUCAAGGAAGAUACUUUAUCCCCAUUAAAGUGUUGAGAAAAGAGAAGCUUAGAAAAUCUAAAUUACUUCCUGAGUAAAGGCUGGGAUUUAUACCUAGGUCUGUCAGACUCUCAAGCUUCAGUUCUUAAACCCUUGACCAUGUAUUUUCAACCUUGGCUUUGCAUCAAAACCACCUAAGAACUUUAAAAAGAGAUAGCAGCCAAAGCCCCAUCUGACAAUAUUGUCACAGUCUUAUUGCAGGUGCCUAAGUAUAGCUUAGUCGAACUUCCAUUCAUGGCUUAAUUUUUAUCACUUCUGUAUCCUGUGGGGGUGUGGCUUAGCAAGGUGUUAUGAGCUACUUAAAAGUGUGCUUGAUACCCGCUCCUUUAAAGCGUUAGUGAUUUUAAGGGCAUUCUCUCUGGGCGUGGAGGCUUGCAUGUGUAAGCUUACUAAGGACUAAUAGGAAGGCUAGGACCAAACCUUUGUGUUUAUGGAGUCUUAUGACUCAUCUUUGCAUUUUCAGUGCUUUGCUUUACUAAUUAAGCUACAUUAACAAAUGUUUAUGGCAUUGUAUGCUAUGUUAGUGAGUGUGUGGGUAUGGGUUGUGUAUUAAAUAGAGGGAUAAAGUUAAGGAAACCCUAUCUAUAGAUAGACUGCGAGAUAGGCAUAUAAAGUCGUUUUGUUGAAUUAACUGGGGUUGUGAUGUACUUGUAUAAAAUUUAGAUGAGGCUUAUGGAUGUUGCAUAGACUUAGUCCUGUUUUUGGGGUUUGGCGGGACAUAAAUAAGCAUAUAGUAAAUAACAUGAAUUUAUGGGGGGUAAGGGGGGUUUGGAUUAAUUUAAUGUCUCGCGUGUGUGCGCAUACGUGUAUACGUGUACACGUGUGUAGUAUAUACGUGUGUACGUGUGUAUGUGUUCCUGCCAUGUUUUGCUAUAGCUGAAGGAUAGGAUCUUGCUGUGUGCCAUACACACCACCCCACAGGUCACAAUUAGCUGCUAAUUUUUACUUUUAGAUAUGGCCAUACAAUCAGUUUUGAAUCUAAAUAUGUAAUCCUCCAAUCCACAUUUAUUAUUUUUCCAUAUUGUGUGAAAGAAUGUCAUAAAAAACUUGCUCAAGUUUGUUCUCUUGGGGGGCACAGGGUUGCUCAGUUGGUGAAAUAUCUGACUUUUGAUUUUGGCUCAGCUUAUGAUCUCAGCUUUGUGGGACUGAACCCCAUGUUGGGCUCCUUACUGGGCAUGGAGCCUGUUUAGGAUUCUUUCUCGCUCUCUCCCUCUGCUCCCCUACCCCCACACUCUGUCUCUCAAAAAAAAAAAAUUGUUCUCUUGGAAUUCUCUUUUAUUCUUAUAAAAAAUAGGGAUAUCCUUCUGAAACGUUUGCCCAGGGAGCAAAUUUCUAGCCCUCCCAGUACCAGGGAUCACAUAAAGAGCCAAACAAUUCUCUAUAGGGUGAAAAGAACUCAACAUUCCAGGACAGUAUUGACUUAAAAAUCAUACUUUCUUAGUGUGAAAAGAGGUUUCCACUCUCUGAAUGACACUAAGCAGGUCACUUUAUCUUUUUGGGCAGGUAGAUAGAUUUCUCAAUUCUAUAAACCUAAGAAUAAUGUAUUUUCUUUCCAGUCCACCUGUCUUCCAUAUCCAAAUCACUUUCAAAAAAUAGUGUCCCUUUGUAGAGGCUCAUUUUUCAGGCAAACAGUCUUGACCAAUGGAAUGUAGAAAAUGGGACCCACCCCAAAAUAUCCACAUGCCUUAACUGACCAACAGGCUACUUACACUUAGGCAGGAGAAUUCCAUCAUUGCCAUAGGUUUUCAUCUUUUCCCUUUUAAGAAGGGCCCCCAGGGGCACCUGGGUGGCUCAGUGGUUGAGCGUCUGCCUUUGGCUCAGGUCAUGAUCCUGGGGUCCUGGGAUCGAGUCCUGCACCAGGAUCCCUGUGGGGAGCCUGCUUCUCCCUCUGCCUAUGUCUUAGUUUCUCUGUCUCUCAUGAAUAAGUAAAAUCUUAAAAAAAAAAAAAAAAA